rnacentral:rRNA from 1 species
UACGAAGGGGGCUAGCGUUGCUCGGAAUUACUGGGCGUAAAGCGCGCGCAGGCGGUCCUUCAAGUCAGAGGUGAAAGCCCAGAGCUCAACUCUGGAAUGGCCUUUGAGACUAGAGGACUUGGGUACGGGAGAGGUGAGUGGAAUUCCGAGUGUAGAGGUGAAAUUCGUAGAUAUUCGGAAGAACACCAGUGGCGAAGGCGGCUCACUGGCCCGUUACCGACGCUCAGGCGCGACAGCGUGGGGGAGCAAACAGG